rnacentral:rRNA from 1 species
UACGUAGGGGGCAAGCGUUAUCCGGAAUUACUGGGUGUAAAGGGAGCGUAGACGGUGAUGUAAGUCUGGAGUGAAAGGCGGGGGCCCAACCCCCGGACUGCUCUGGAAACUAUAUGACUUGAGUGCAGAAGAGGAGAGUGGAACUCCAUGUGUAGCGGUGAAAUGCGUAGAUAUAUGGAAGAACACCAGUGGCGAAAGCGGCUCUCUGGUCUGUAACUGACGCUGAGGUUCGAAAGCGUGGGUAGCAAACAGG